rnacentral:rRNA from 1 species
UACAGAGACUGCAAGCGUUAUUCGGAUUCACUGGGCGUAAAGGGUGCGCAGGCGGUUGGGUGAGUCAGAGGUGAAAUCCCGAGGCUUAACCUCGGAACUGCGUCUGAAACUACUCGACUAGAGUACUGGAGAGGGAAACGGAAUUCACGGUGUAGCAGUGAAAUGCGUAGAUAUCGUGAGGAACACCAGAGGCGAAGGCGGUUUCCUGGACAGUUACUGACGCUCAGGCACGAAAGCAUGGGGAGCAAAAGGG